UACGUAGGGUGCAAGCGUUUAAUCGGAAUUACUGGGCGUAAAGCGUGCGCAGGCGGUGAUGUAAGACAGGUGUGAAAUCCCCCGGCUUAACCUGGGAACUGCGUCUGAUACUGGACGGCUGGAGUUUGGGAGAGGGAUGUAGAAUUCCAGGUGUAGCGGUGAAAUGCGUAGAUAUCUGGAGGAACACCGGUGGCGAAGGCGGCAUCCUGGACCAAUAUUGACGCUGAGGAGCGAAAGCCAGGGGAGCAAACGGG
rnacentral:rRNA from 1 species